GCAGAAGGCUGGAUGGCCGCGGGGGGCGCAAGUCCCGCGAGGAAAGUCCGGACUCCAUGAAGCAGCGGUGCCGGGUAACGCCCGGGCGGGGGAACCCGACGGAAAGCGCCACAGAAAACAGACCGCCAGCCCCCGGGCUGGUAAGGGUGAAACGGUGGGGUAAGAGCCCACCGCGCCCCUGGCAACAGGGGCGGCACGGCAAGCCCCACCGGGAGCAAUGCCAAAUAGGGUCCCCGCGCGGGCAGGUUCCGGUUUCCGGAAAACCGCCGCUAGGUUCGCUUCAGCCGAGAGGGACCGGGUUGGCAGCUUGAGCGGCGCAGCAAUGCGCCGCCUAGAUGAAUGGCCAUCGAUCCCUGCCUUACGGGGCAGGGGGGACAGGAUCCGGCUUACAGGCCUUCUGUGCAU
rnacentral:RNase_P_RNA from 1 species